AUGACACAUUUAAUUAAUUAUAUAUCAAUCAAUCAAUCAAUUAAACCCUUCCAGGAGACCUUGGGUCAUGGUGGUUGUUUGCUCCAAUUCCUGGGUAAUCUGUGCUUUCCAAAACCAUUCUUCCCUCUACAACUCCUUCCACCAUUAACAUAUCUCCUUCUUCUACCAUCAAUUCCUACACCAACAAAUUCAUAUAUUAAUUAUAUCAUAUAUAUUACAUACUAAAUAAAUAUACAUAUAUAUUAAUUCUACUAUUAUUAAGAAAAUAAAUAAUUAAUUAAACCAUGAUUUAACAGUGAAGAAUCACCUAGACCAAAGUCACAUAACAAAAUCAAAUAUUUACAUCGUCCUAAUUGUCGCUGAUGAAUUCAAUCUCAUCCUCAUCCUCAUCCUCAUUCAUCGGUCAGAGAAUUCAAGCCAACUUGUAACUCUUUUUUCAUAAAUAUGGUCUGCAUCUUUUUUGGGUGAAUUGUUUUGAUCAACAACUUUACUGUUCCGAUCCUAUAAUAGAUGAAAUAAAUUAAAAAAUAAAAGAAAACACAGGCAAGUGAAAGUGAUUCUAUAAGUCGGCCUCACCUCAUUCUAUUCCAUUAAUCAAAAAGAAGUUAUCCCACCAAAAAAGAAAAGAAAAAUAGCACAAAUAUGAAACUAUAAAAGAGAAAACAAAACUCAAUUAUCCACAGAACCAUAUCUAAUUUACCAACAAUUAGUAAGAACAUAGAACAUACUUCCAGUAAAAUAAGGUCCAUGAAUUCCGGAAUCGAAAAAAGGCUAGAACAUUACUGAGAGCCUGCAUGAGGGGUAUCAAUGACUAAUAGAAAUAAAUUACUUAGAUCUCAGCCUCAUUUUCCGAUGCUUCCUCUUCAACCUCCUCAUUCUUUUCUUCUUCGG
rnacentral:lncRNA from 1 species